GCAAGACAACUAUAAAGUAAGAACUGUAAGUAUGCAUACAAUGACUGCUACUAUAAACAUAUGCGUCAACCGGUUAAGAAGUCCAAAAGUACCCAAUCUGAAACCAAUGCUCUCUUGGUCAGCACCGCAGACCUCAAGCCAAUGCCCUGGAGGUCCGCACCGCAACACCUCCCGACAGUACCACUGCCGCUCUAACAUGCAUAUAACCC
rnacentral:lncRNA from 1 species